rnacentral:rRNA from 1 species
AUACGGAGGAUGCGAGCGUUAUCCGGAUUUAUUGGGUUUAAAGGGAGCGUAGGUGGGAUAUUAAGUCAGCUGUGAAAGUUUGGGGCUCAACCUUAAAAUUGCAGUUGAUACUGGUUUCCUUGAGUACGGUAUAGGUGGGCGGAAUUCGUGGUGUAGCGGUGAAAUGCUUAGAUAUCACGAAGAACUCCGAUCGCGAAGGCAGCUCACCGGGCCGGAACUGACACUGAUGCUCGAAAGUGCGGGUAUCAAACAGGAUUAGAUACCCUGGUAGUCCGCACAGUAAACGAUGAAUACUCGCUGUUUGCGAUACACUGUAAGCGGCCAAGCGAAAGCAUUAAGUAUUCCACCUGGGGAGUACGCCGGCAACGGUGAAACUCAAAUGAAUUGGCGGGG